UUUUCCCUGACAGUGAAGAAUAAGCCC
rnacentral:piRNA from 1 species